AAGAUACCUGAAGGGGAGAUUCUCAAAGUCUUAAAGACACAUUGCUGAACAUUUAAACUGCUUCUAAUGCUGCGAAUAUCAGACUAAAAAGGAGAUGUGCCACUCAAGAGUCAGCACUGACCAUACAAACCAGAGAAAUACCCUAGAAGAUGGUGAAACAUCAACAUGGAAGAAACCUGGUUCCUUGGAUGACUUUGUGAGCCAGAGAGACCCCUCACAGACCACCCAACUGCCUCAGGACUGUUGUACAAACAUUAAACAAGCAUAGAACUUGUGUAUAUAUUGUUGUAUCACUACAAUAUAGAAACAAUUUUCAAACUGUUGGAAGUUAAAGUCUUACUUCUUUGAAGCCCCACUGUCGAGUAUGAAUUUCAGUAAUGACAACACUAUGCAUACUCACAGUCUGUAAGAAGUAGUUUAAUAUGGGCUUGGACUAGUUCAAACCUCAGCUCUUAUGCUUAUUUACCAAUAAACCUCAGCUGUUAUGCUUAUUUGCCAAAUGACCUUGAGCCUAACCUAAGGCUUGCCACAUUCUAGCUACUUAAUAAAUGCUCUAUAAAAUUUAUAGACAAUUGCCAAACAAGGUGAAAAAGUUUUGUAGUUCACUACCACUUUAUUUUACUUAUUUUUUUUCUUCUCUUUGGGACCCAUCAUAAGCUACUUUAGAAGAAUUUUAAUGGAAUAAAG
rnacentral:lncRNA from 10 species